rnacentral:rRNA from 1 species
AGUGAACGCUGGCGGUAGGCCUAACACAUGCAAGUCGAACGGCAGCACAGUAAGAGCUUGCUCUUACGGGUGGCGAGUGGCGGACGGGUGAGGAAUACAUCGGAAUCUACUUUUUCGUGGGGGAUAACGUAGGGAAACUUACGCUAAUACCGCAUACGACCUACGGGUGAAAGCAGGGGAUCUUCGGACCUUGCGCGAUUGAAUGAGCCGAUGUCGGAUUAGCUAGUUGGCGGGGUAAAGGCCCACCAAGGCGACGAUCCGUAGCUGGUCUGAGAGGAUGAUCAGCCACACUGUAACUUAGACACGGUCCAGACUCCUACGGGAGGCAUCAGUGCGGAAUAUUGGACAAUGGGCGCAAGCCUGAUCCAGCCAUACCGCGUGGGUGAAGAAGGCCUUCGGGUUGUAAAGCCCUUUUGUUGGUAAAGAAAAGCAGCAGGUUAAUACCCCGCUGUUCUGACGGUACCCAAAGAAUAAGCGCCGGCUAACUUCGUG